GACUCGCUAGCUCAGUUGGUAGAGCAACAGGCUUUUAAUCUGUGGGUCUUGGGUUCGAGUCCCAAGCGGGUCA
rnacentral:tRNA from 1 species